AACGGCGAGUGAAGCGGCAACAGCUCAAAUUUGAAAUCCGGCCCCCGCGGCCCGAGUUGUAAUUUGCAGAGGACGCUUUGGGCGAGGUGCCUUCCGAGUUCCCUGGAACGGGACGCCGCAGAGGGUGAGAGCCCCGUACGGUCGGCGGCCGAGCCCGCGUAAAGCUCCUUCGACGAGUCGAGUAGUUUGGGAAUGCUGCUCCAAAUGGGAGGUAAACCCCUUCUAAAGCUAAAUACCGGCCAGAGACCGAUAGCGCACAAGUAGAGUGAUCGAAAGAUGAAAAGCACUUUGAAAAGAGAGUUAAAAAGCACGUGAAAUUGUUGAAAGGGAAGCGCUUGUGGCCAGACUUGCGCCCGGCAGCUCAGCCGUCCUUCUGGGCGGUGCACUCUGCCGGGCCCAGGCCAGCAUCAGUUUCCGGUCGGGGAGAAAGGCGGCGGGAACGUGGCUCCUCGGAGUGUUAUAGCCCGCCGCCAUGCCCUUCCGGGGACUGAGGUUCGCGCCCCGCAAGGAUGCUGGCGUAAUGGCCACCAGCGACCCGUCUUGAAACACGGACCAAGGAGUCGUCCUAGUAUGCGAGUGUUCGGGUGCCAAACCCCUACGCGCAAUGAAAGUGAACGGAGGUGAGAGCUUCGGCGCAUCAUCGACCGAUCCUGAUGUUCUCGGAUGGAUUUGAGUAUGAGCAUACUGGGCCGGACCCGAAAGAAGGUGAACUAUGCUUGUAUAGGGUAAAGCCAGAGGAAACUCUGGUGGAGGCUCGCAGCGGUUCUGACGUGCAAAUCGAUCGUCAAAUAUGAGCAUGGGGGCGAAAGACUAAUCGAACCUUCUAGUAGCUGGUUUCCGCCGAAGUUUCCCUCAGGAUAGCAGUGUUGAGCUCAGUUUUAUGAGGUAAAGCGAAUGAUUAGGGACUCGGGGGCGCUUAUUAGCCUUCAUCCAUUCUCAAACUUUAAAUAUGUAAGAAGCCCUUGUUGCUUCGGUGAACGCGGG
rnacentral:rRNA from 1 species